GGGGAAUAUUGCGCAAUGGGGGCAACCCUGACGCAGCAACGCCGCGUGCAGGAAGAAGGUCUUCGGAUUGUAAACUGUUGUCGCAAGGGAAGAAGACAGUGACGGUACCUUGUGAGAAAGUCACGGCUAACUACGUGCCAGCAGCCGCGGUAAUACGUAGGUGACAAGCGUUGUCCGGAUUUACUGGGUGUAAAGGGCGCGUAGGCGGACUGUCAAGUCAGUCGUGAAAUACCGGGGCUUAACCCCGGGGCUGCGAUUGAAACUGACAGCCUUGAGUAUCGGAGAGGAAAGCGGAAUUCCUAGUGUAGCGGUGAAAUGCGUAGAUAUUAGGAGGAACACCAGUGGCGAAGGCGGCUUUCUGGACGACAACUGACGCUGAGGCGCGAAAGUGUGGGGAGCAAACAGGAUUAGAUACCCUGGUAGUCCACACCGUAAACGAUGGAUACUAGGUGUAGGAGGUAUCGACCCCUUCUGUACCGCAGUUAACACAAUAAGUAUCCCACCUGGGGAGUACGACCGCAAGGUUGAAACUCAAAGGAAUUGACGGGGGCCCGCACAAGCAGUGGAGUAUGUGGUUUAAUUCGAAGCAACGCGAAGAACCUUACCUGGGCUUGACAUCCCUGGAAUCGAGUAGAGAUACUUGAGUGCCUUCGGGAAUCAGGUGACAGGUGGUGCAUGGUUGUCGUCAGCUCGUGUCGUGAGAUGUUGGGUUAAGUCCCGCAACGAGCGCAACCCCUAUUGUCAGUUGCCAUCAUUAAGUUGGGCACUCUGGCGAGACUGCCGGUGACAAAUCGGAGGAAGGUGGGGACGACGUCAAAUCAUCAUGCCCCUUAUGCCCAGGGCUACACACGUACUACAAUGGCCGAUAACAAAGUGCAGCGAAACCGUGAGGUGGAGCGAAUCACAAAACUCGGUCUCAGUUCAGAUUGCAGGCUGCAACUCGCCUGCAUGAAGUUGGAAUUGCUAGUAAUCGCGGAUCAGAAUGCCGCGGUGAAUACGUUCCCG
rnacentral:rRNA from 1 species